GCCCAAGUAGCUCAGUAGGUAGAGCAUGCGGCUGUUAACCGCAAGGUCAGAGGUUCAAGUCCUCUCUUGGGCG
rnacentral:tRNA from 1 species